GAUGAACGCUGGCGGCGUGCCUAAUACAUGCAAGUCGAGCGAACGCACGAGAAGCUUUCUCCUCUGAUUUUAUCGGCGGACGGGUCCGUACCUCGUGGUUAACCUACCUCUCCGACUGGGAUAACUUCGGGAAACCGUAUCUACUACCCAAUGAUUUUUUGCACUUCAUUGUUCAAAAGUUAAAUACGCUCUUUCUUUCACUUAUAGCUUGCUCCGCGCUGCAUUAGCUAGUUGGUAAGGUAACUGCUUACCAACGCAACGAGGCAUAGCCGACCUGAGAGGGAGAAUGGACAGACUGGAAGUGAGAAAGAGUAGAGACACCUACAGGAGGAAGCAGUAGGGAAUCUUCCGCGAAGGGCGAAAGGCUGACGGAGCAACGCCGCGUGAGUGAUGAAGGACUUCGGAUCGUAAAACGAUGUUAUUAGGGAAGAACAUAUGUGUAAGUAACUGUGAACAUAUUGACGGUACCGAAACAGAAAGCCACGGCUAACUACGUG
rnacentral:rRNA from 1 species